GAUGAACGCUGGCGGCGUGCCUAAUACAUGCAAGUCGAGCGAACGGACGAGAAGCUUGCUUUUCUGAUGUUAGCGGCGGACGGGUGAGUAACACGUGGAUAACCUACCUAUAAGACUGGGAUAACUUCGGGAAACCGGAGCUAAUACCGGAUAAUAUUUUGAACCGCAUGGUUCAUAAGUGAAAGACGGUCUUGCUGUCACUUAUAGAUGGAUCCGCGCUGCAUUAGCUAGUUGGUAAGGUAACGGCUUACCAAGGCAACGAUGCAUAGCCGACCUGAGAGGGUGAUCGGCCACACUGGAACUGAGACACGGUCCAGAAUCCUACGGGAGGCAGCAGUAGGGAAUCUUCCGCAAUGGGCGAAAGCCUGACGGAGCAACGCCGCGUGAGUGAUGAAGGUCUUCGGAUCGUAAAACUCUGUUAUUAGGGAAGAACAUAUGUGUAAGUAACUGUGCACAUCUUGACGGUACCUAAUCAGAAAGCCACGGCUAACUACGUG
rnacentral:rRNA from 1 species